UGUUUCGGCAAGGGGGUCAUCCCGACUUACCAACCCGAUGCAAACUGCGAAUACCGGAGAAUGUUAUCACGGGAGACACACGGCGGGUGCUAACGUCCGUCGUGAAGAGGGAAACAACCCAGACCGCCAGCUAAGGUCCCAAAGUCAUGGUUAAGUGGGAAACGAUGUGGGAAGGCCCAGACAGCCAGGAUGUUGGCUUAGAAGCAGCCAUCAUUUAAAGAAAGCGUAAUAGCUCACUGGUCGAGUCGGCCUGCGCGGAAGAUGUAACGGGGCUAAACCAUGCACCGAAGCUGCGGCAGCGACACUAUGUGUUGUUGGGUAGGGGAGCGUUCUGUAAGCCUGUGAAGGUGUACUGUGAGGUAUGCUGGAGGUAUCAGAAGUGCGAAUGCUGACAUAAGUAACGAUAAAGCGGGUGAAAAGCCCGCUCGCCGGAAGACCAAGGGUUCCUGUCCAACGUUAAUCGGGGCAGGGUGAGUCGACCCCUAAGGCGAGGCCGAAAGGCGUAGUCGAUGGGAAACAGGUUAAUAUUCCUGUACUUGGUGUUACUGCGAAGGGGGGACGGAGAAGGCUAUGUUGGCCGGGCGACGGUUGUCCCGGUUUAAGCGUGUAGGCUGGUUUUCCAGGCAAAUCCGGAAAAUCAAGGCUGAGGCGUGAUGACGAGGCACUACGGUGCUGAAGCAACAAAUGCCCUGCUUCCAGGAAAAGCCUCUAAGCAUCAGGUAACAUCAAAUCGUACCCCAAACCGACACAGGUGGUCAGGUAGAGAAUACCAAGGCGCUUGAGAGAACUCGGGUGAAGGAACUAGGCAAAAUGGUGCCGUAACUUCGGGAGAAGGCACGCUGAUAUGUAGGUGAAGUCCCUCGCGGAUGGAGCUGAAAUCAGUCGAAGAUACCAGCUGGCUGCAACUGUUUAUUAAAAACACAGCACUGUGCAAACACGAAAGUGGACGUAUACGGUGUGACGCCUGCCCGGUGCCGGAAGGUUAAUUGAUGGGGUUAGCGGUAACGCGAAGCUCUUGAUCGAAGCCCCGGUAAACGGCGGCCGUAACUAUAACGGUCCUAAGGUAGCGAAAUUCCUUGUCGGGUAAGUUCCGACCUGCACGAAUGGCGUAAUGAUGGCCAGGCUGUCUCCACCCGAGACUCAGUGAAAUUGAACUCGCUGUGAAGAUGCAGUGUACCCGCGGCAAGACGGAAAGACCCCGUGAACCUUUACUAUAGCUUGACACUGAACAUUGAGCCUUGAUGUGUAGGAUAGGUGGGAGGCUUUGAAGUGUGGACGCCAGUCUGCAUGGAGCCGACCUUGAAAUACCACCCUUUAAUGUUUGAUGUUCUAACGUUGACCCGUGAUCCGGGUUGCGGACAGUGUCUGGUGGGUAGUUUGACUGGGGCGGUCUCCUCCUAAAGAGUAACGGAGGAGCACGAAGGUUGGCUAAUCCUGGUCGGACAUCAGGAGGUUAGUGCAAUGGCAUAAGCCAGCUUGACUGCGAGCGUGACGGCGCGAGCAGGUGCGAAAGCAGGUCAUAGUGAUCCGGUGGUUCUGAAUGGAAGGGCCAUCGCUCAACGGAUAAAAGGUACUCCGGGGAUAACAGGCUGAUACCGCCCAAGAGUUCAUAUCGACGGCGGUGUUUGGCACCUCGAUGUCGGCUCAUCACAUCCUGGGGCUGAAGUAGGUCCCAAGGGUAUGGCUGUUCGCCAUUUAAAGUGGUACGCGAGCUGGGUUUAGAACGUCGUGAGACAGUUCGGUCCCUAUCUGCCGUGGGCGCUGGAGAACUGAGGGGGGCUGCUCCUAGUACGAGAGGACCGGAGUGGACGCAUCACUGGUGUUCGGGUUGUCAUGCCAAUGGCACUGCCCGGUAGCUAAAUGCGGAAGAGAUAAGUGCUGAAAGCAUCUAAGCACGAAACUUGCC
rnacentral:rRNA from 1 species